GACGAACGCUGGCGGCGUGCUUAACACAUGCAAGUCGAACGGAAAGGCCCUGCUUUUGGGGGUGCUCGAGUGGCGAACGGGUGAGUAACACGUGAGUAACCUGCCCUUGACUUUGGGAUAACUUCAGGAAACUGGGGCUAAUACCGGAUAGGAGCUCCUGCUGCAUGGUGGGGGUUGGAAAGUUUCGGCGGUUGGGGAUGGACUCGCGGCUUAUCAGCUUGUUGGUGGGGUAGUGGCUUACCAAGGCUUUGACGGGUAGCCGGCCUGAGAGGGUGACCGGCCACAUUGGGACUGAGAUACGGCCCAGACUCCUACGGGAGGCAGAAGUGGGGAAUAUUGCACAAUGGGCGGAAGCCUGAUGCAGCAACGCCGCGUGCGGGAUGACGGCCUUCGGGUUGUAAACCGCUUUCGCCUGUGACGAAGCGUGAGUGACGGUAAUGGGUAAAGAAGCACCGGCUAACUACGUG
rnacentral:rRNA from 1 species